CCGCUGUUCCCCUGACCAAGGCAGUUAACCCGCUGUUCCCCUGACCAAGGCAGUUAACCCGCUGUUCCCCUGACCAAGGCAGUUAACCCGCUGUUCCUAUGGCCAUCAUUGUAAAUAAAAAUGGUGUUAACUGACUUGCCUAGUUAAAUAAAUACUGUGCAGGCCAAGUCACAGGAGUUAUUUUAUCAAAUUAAACUUUAUGGAAACACGUGUUUAGUGGGUGUAGUGAAAUGGGGGGGUCAGUAGCAGCAGGGAAGUGCGGUAUGCUUCCUAAUGGCCGCUGGCUUUCUGCUACUUUACGUCAACUAGUAUGAACACACCAUAACGCACUUCUGCAAUCCUUUUCAACUAAACUUUGUGUGGAAUUCACGUUUACAGUGUUCUGUUAUACUAUGCUCCAAGCUGUGUUGCUUCAGGUGGACAGUUGUCUUAUGUAGCAUUGAGACAUGCCUGUACAAUAAUGACCAUGCGGUCUUACGGCAAAAAAAAAUAAAAAAAUGCCACAAUUCAAACUGUUGAAUAGAUUGUACCACUGCAGUAACAAAGAAGACGUGUCUGUUGUGGGAUGAUGUAGUUGAAUUUACUGCCAUGUUAAAAAAAAAAAAAAAGGAAAGGUGAACCUUCAAUAGAACUAAAGCACUCAUCUUACACAGGACAGAGGAACAAUCCAACAGACAUCUUGUCAUGAAACCAUGUGGUCUCAUGAAGUUCGUUGCUCUGGCAACAUAGAACCCAGUGUCAAGACUAGAGAGGGUUAGAAGUUGUGCACCUGGACAGAUUCUGUUUCUGUGGUCUGCACUGCAUGGCAACUACAGCCAUGUCACAGAGUGAGACAUCAAAAAGGUCAAAGAGCAUUUAAAAAGAAGAAGAAAAAAAAAAAGGUGGCCAAAGUAUCAAUUAACAUAAAAACACGACAGAGGGAAGCAAUUGCCAUUGAAUGGAUGUGUCCUUGAAAAUGUAUGAUUUAAACAAGAGGGAAUCCAAGAUAAUCUAUUUAAACAAGAGGGAAUCCAAGAUAAUCUAUUUAAACAAGAGGGAAUCCAAGAUAAUCUAUUU
ensembl:lncRNA